rnacentral:misc_RNA from 1 species
CAAUUGCCCAUUAACAUAUUCUUCGGUUUGCUCCAUUGCUAUAUUCAUGUAUCCAUCUAAACAGGCAAGGAUACCUCGAUAGUCAACACCAGAGUUCAAUUUGACAACAACAGGUCGUCCACGAAUAGACUUGAGAAAAUCUGCUGGAGUCUUGGUUGUUGAUCCUUUCUCUCCUGCUCCACUCAUUUUCAAUUACUUACUCUCAAAUAAUGAUUCUUUAUCAACGAUGAAAAGUUGCAGGACAGAGAAACUUAAAGAGACGAAGGAUUUAGUGAGGAGCUAGGGUUUUGAAUUCUUGUUUUUGUGUCUCGG